rnacentral:rRNA from 1 species
UAGGGAAUCUUCCACAAUGGGCGCAAGCCUGAUGGAGCAACACCGCGUGAGUGAAGAAGGGUUUCGGCUCGUAAAGCUCUGUUGUUAAAGAAGAACACGUAUGAGAGUAACUGUUCAUACGUUGACGGUAUUUAACCAGAAAGUCACGGCUAACUACGUGCCAGCAGCCGCGGUAAUACGUAGGUGGCAAGCGUUAUCCGGAUUUAUUGGGCGUAAAGAGAGUGCAGGCGGUUUUCUAAGUCUGAUGUGAAAGCCUUCGGCUUAACCGGAGAAGUGCAUCGGAAACUGGAUAACUUGAGUGCAGAAGAGGGUAGUGGAACUCCAUGUGUAGCGGUGGAAUGCGUAGAUAUAUGGAAGAACACCAGUGGCGAAGGCGGCUACCUGGUCUGCAACUGACGCUGAGACUCGAAAGCAUGGGUAGCGAACAGGAUUAGAUACCCUGGUAGUCCAUGCCGUAAACGAUGAGUGCUAGGUGUUGGAGGGUUUCCGCCCUUCAGUGCCGGAGCUAACGCAUUAAGCACUCCGCCUGGGGAGUACGACCGCAAGGNUG